AUGACGGGUUUUGCAAGGGGUGACUCAUUUCAUGGAGGCGGCAGUGAGCAGGGCGCCCCUGAAACCAGCGGGCUCCGGCCUGCUCAAGCCAAAGCAUGGCGGCCCCUCUGCCUUGCUUCUGAACUUCUCCAAGCUCUUGAACAGCAUGGAGGCCACACGAUAUCCAGAGUUACCAAAAAAGAUGUGAACCAGCAGGCAUUUGUCAGAGCUCUGGCAGCCUCCCUCAAAAAGUCUGGGAAGCUGAAAGUUCCUGAAUGGGUGGACAUGGUCAAGUUGACCAAGCAUGAAGAGCUUGCUCCCAACGAUGAGAACUGGUUCUACACACAAGCUGCUUCCACAGCAUGGCACCUGUACCUUCAGGGUGGUGCCUGGGGUUGGCUCCUUGACCAAGAUCUGCGGAGACGAUGUCAGAGAAACAGCAUCCUGCUCAACCACUUCAGGCAAGGUUCCAAGAGUGUGGCCCGCUGGGUCCUUCAAGCUCUGGGGGAGCUGAAAAUGGUGGAAAAGGACCAGGAUGAGGGCCGCAAACUGACACCUCAGGGACAGAGAGAUCUGGACAGAAUCGCCAGACAGGUGGCAGCUGCCAACAAGAAGCAUUAGAACAAAUGAUGCUGGGUUAAUAAAUUGCCUCAUUUGUAAAAAAUAAUAA